UAGAAUAAAAAAAUCCCCAGCCGGGGGUUUUUUUUUUUUCCCCCCGGCUGGGUUUUUUUUUUCCUCGGUCCCGGCCGGUCUGCGAGGCGACAUUCAUCGCCAAAGUUUGGGCGCGGACCGUCCAGGGACCGGGGUUUUUGUCAGGCAGGAGAAUUUCUCGGAGGCUCUUGGGAACCACGUUCCCGAGGACCAACGAUUGCCGGGGUGUAGUUUAGCAGUCGCGACGAGAGCGAUGUUGAGGUUGUGUCGGAAGGGGCUGUUAGCGGUAGAUGAACGUUGUUUGCCGUGCGCUUGUGUUGUUUUGGGUUUCCUGUGACAAUAAAUCAACAUGUAAUGAAAAGAGGGAAAAGGUCAUCAUAUCGUGUUAAUAUGUGUUUUGUGUCGUAUUGCUCUGUAUUGUGUAUUUGCAUUAUUGCUGCAUUUCCCUGUAUCGCUCUGUCUGUAAAUCUGACUUUUACCAGUGCGUCCAUAGAUUGUAUCUGUACUCACAUUUCUAUACACUGUUUCCAUGUAUUUUGCCGAAGUGUAAAUUAAAAUAUUCAUUUAAUAAAGUUGAAUCAACCCUAAUAAAGAUAACCCCCGCCCUCUCCCUACCCUGA